rnacentral:rRNA from 1 species
GGGAUGAGCUUGCGUCCGAUUAGUUAGUUGGUGGGUAACGGCCUACCAAGACGACGAUCAGUAGCCGGACUGAGAGGUUGAACGGCCACAUUGGGACUGAGAUACGGCCCAGACUCUACGGGAGGCAGCAGUCGGGAAUAUUGCGCAAUGGAGGAAACUCUGACGCAGUGACGCCGCGUAUAGGAAGAAGGUCUUCGGAUUGUAAACCUCUGUCUUCGGUGACGAUAAUGACGGUAGCCGAGGAGGAAGCCACGGCUAACUACGUGCCAGCAGCCGCGGUAAUACGAGGGGUGCAAGCGUUGUUCGGAAUCACUGGGCGUAAAGGGAGCGUAGGCGGAGACGCAAGCAGUCUGUACAAUACCGGGGCCCAACCCCGGACCUGCAGACUGGACUGUGUCUCUUGGAUAGUUCAGGGGCAGGCGGAAUUCCUGGUGUAGCGGUGGAAUGCGUAGAGAUCAGGAAGAACACCGAUGGCGAAGGCAGCCUGCUGGGGACUCAUCGACGCUGAGGCUCGAAAGUGCGGGUAGCAAACAGGAUUAGAUACCCUGGUAGUCC